CGCGUAGGCUGAAGAGCCAGUCGGGCGUGAAAUUCCAGGGCUUAACCCUGGAGCUGCACUCGAUACUACUCUUCUAGAGGAUAGGCGGAGAAAACGGAAUUCCACGUGUAGCGGUGAAAUGCGUAGAUAUGUGGAAGAACACCCGUGGCGAAGGCGGUUUUCUAGCUUAUUCCUGACGCUGAGGCGCGAAAGCAAGGGGAGCGAACA
rnacentral:rRNA from 1 species